GCUAAGGAAGACGUGUGAAAAUAUGUUUAUCCACGCCAGGACAAAACUGUGUGUACCAAAAUUGAACUAAUACUAUUUCAAAAUUUUAACCAACAAUGGCUACUCUUUGUAUGUCUUCAUCUUCUCCGGUUAAACUUCACCCAAUCUCCCCCUUUAUUAAUUCUUCUUUCCCAGCAAAUCCAAAACUACUACUUUCUUUUCCAAGAAGGAGAUCAUUUUUCCAUCAUUUUACGGCCGUCAAUUAUGUACCGGAAUCUUUGAAAUUGAGGGCAAGGGUCUCCUUAUUUCCGUUUUUGUUUACCAAAAGUGAAGACACUGAGAGCCUUAAGCAGGAGCUUCUCGAAGCCAUAGCCCCACUUGAUCGCGGUGCUGAGGCCACUCCUGAAGAUCAAAAGCUUAUUGAUCAGAUUGCAAGCAAACUUGAGGUAGCUAAUAAAGUGAAGGAGCCCCUGAAGUCAAGCUUAUUGAAUGGAAAGUGGGAGCUUUUGUAUACUACAUCUCAAUCAAUUCUACAAACCAAGUUUAUUAUUGUCGCAGAGGCCCAAAUUCUUGAGAGCCAAUGGAAAAAUUUACCAGGCUAUCAAUGCAGAUACAUUGAGGGCUCAGAAUAUAGAAACAUGGCCAUUUUUCAAUCAGCUAUUGUAUUAUUAAGGCUCAGAAAUCUAGUCAAGUUAGAUUUAUUUGCAAUUCAAGGACUAAAUCUUUUAGCAGGAGUACUUGUGCUGCACCUCAGGGUGCUUCAUACACACGCACGUUCAUCUGGUAACUUGAUUUUCUGGUCUGUGAUUUAUAUUGGAUGCCUCUUUAGUUUUAUCACCUUCAUGAGUAGAUGCAGCCUUCGAAUUUCAAAUAAGGUAGUUUUCAAAACUAUUGUAAACAAAUUCUGCUCACACACACACACAUUCUUUAUGUCAUGAAAUAUUUCCAUAAAAUAAACCACACAGAAAAAGAAAAAGAUUGUUUUUUAUCUCAGUAAUUAUUAUGUGAUUUAGUUAAUAAGCUGCUGGAGCUGCUUUCUUGAAUGGAAGUUUGCUGUGAAAAACACAAAACUGAUGCUUUAUUUUAGUUGGGACAGAUAGAAUAGGCUGUCUUUUGCGCCUUUGAAAAUAGAUAAAACUCUAUAAUUAUCAUGAUGAGAUUCUCAUUGUCCUGGAUUCCAAGAGAAAAACUCGAUAUAUGUUUAAGAAAGGGUCAUCCACUGCCAGUUACUAUAAAAGAAAAUAUUUCCUUUUGAUUUUUGCAAUAAAGUUGAAGUCAGUUUUCUAACAUAUCUGCAGGCCACUGCCAAUUUAGUUCCUCUUAAUGCACGGAGAGUUGCUGUAAAAUUUGACUCUUUCAAGAUAGCAAGUCUGAUACCUAUAAAGAACCGCGGAAGUGGUCGUGGUGAACUUGAAAUCACAUACCUGGAUGAAGAACUAAG